UAGGGAAUCUUCCACAAUGGGCGCAAGCCUGAUGGAGCAACGCCGCGUGAGUGAAGAAGGUCUUCGGAUCGUAAAACUCUGUUGUUAGAGAAGAACAUGCAGGAGAGUAACUGUUCUUGUAUUGACGGUAUCUAACCAGAAACGCCACGGCUAACUACGUGCCAG
rnacentral:rRNA from 1 species